rnacentral:rRNA from 1 species
GUAGGGAAUAUUGGUUAAUGGGCGAAAGCCUGACCCAGCAACGCCGCGUGAACGAUGAAGGCCUUCGGGUUGUAAAGUUCUUUUUACAGGGAUGAGGAAGGACAGUACCUGUAGAAUAAGUCUCGGCUAACUACGUGCCAGCAGCCGCGGUAACACGUAGGAGACGAGCGUUAUCCGGAUUUACUGGGUGUAAAGCGCGUGCAGGCGGUAUGGUAAGUUGGAUGUGAAAGCUCCCGGCUUAACUGGGAGAGGUCGUACAAGACUGCCAAACUAGAGGACAGCAGAGGGGAGUGGAAUUCCGAGUGUAGCGGUAAAAUGCAUAGAUAUUCGGAAGAACACCAGUGGCGAAGGCGGCUCUCUGGGCUGUACCUGACGCUCAGACGCGAAAGCUAGGGUAGCAAACGGGAUUAGAAACCCCGGUAGUCC